ACCCCUGCAAAUAAGCAUAGUACUCCUUUGAGAUCUUAGAUGUCUAUAUGACAGUGACUGGAAAGACCCAAACACUUACUGGUAUUAAGUAAUUGCCAAGAUUUUAUAAUCUAUGGUGACCAGUCACAAUCUCUGAUUACUGGAGAAAUACUGUUGCAAAAUAAUAUUUAAAGGUCGUGAUUCAUUUACACUGAAAAGCGUCCUUUGAAAAAAAUGAAAAAAAAAAAAAAAAAAAAAAAAAAAAAAAAAAAAAAAAAAAAAAAAAAAAAAAAAAAAAAAAAAAAAAAAAAAAAAAAAAAAAAAAAAAAAAAAAAAAAAAAAAAAAAAAAGG
rnacentral:lncRNA from 1 species